CCCAUCCUCUUUUGGCUAAAGCCCUUGUCAUUUGGAGUGUCUUCAACCAAGCAGGGUGGAUCAGGGAGGGACGGAGGGAUCUGGACAAAGCAGUCCUGUUUCUCCAAGUUCCCCAUUGUUGGUUGCACUGGAUACUCCAAGCACUUCAGCCAUCUCACUUCCCUGCUCUCUGUGCCAUUUCAUGGCACACAGGUAUCAUUGUCCUGUACCCCCACCCAGACUACCCUGACUGCUCAGGUCCUAAGUACCUGGUUUACAAAUCCAGAGACCUCUCUCUCAACUGAGUCACACCUACUUUUCCAGGUGCUUUCUUUCUCAUUGUAUGCAAUUCUAGAACUUCACAUUUCCUUUAGAAAGUAAAAUAUGGAAAACGCCUUUUGAUCCUCUUGCUCUU
rnacentral:lncRNA from 1 species